rnacentral:rRNA from 1 species
CCAAGGCAACGAUGCAUAGCCGACCUGAGAGGGUGAACGGCCACACUGGGACUGAGACACGGCCCAGACUCCUACGGGAGGCAGCAGUAGGGAAUCUUCCGCAAUGGACGAAAGUCUGACGGAGCAACGCCGCGUGAACGAUGAAGGUUUUCGGAUCGUAAAGUUCUGUUGUUAGGGAAGAACAAACUUCGUUUGAAUAAGGCGGAGUCAUGACGGUACCUGACUAAGAAGCACCGGCUAAAUAC